ensembl:snoRNA small nucleolar RNA ACA64
GCUAGUUGAAAAUCGCCUGCGGCCUCGCCCGUGGCCACGGGUGAGAUUCGGCGCCCAGAACCACCAGGGGCCUCAGCUCACCGCCAACUGCCUUGAUGUGGGCGGCCGAAACCCAGGCCCCGACAGGC